GACGAACGCUGGCGGCGUGCUUAACACAUGCAGGUCGAGCGGAAAGGCCUUUCGGGGUACUCGAGCGGCGAACGGGUGAGUAACACGUGAGUAAUCUGCCCUUCACUCUGGGAUAGCCACCGGAAACGGUGAUUAAUACCGGAUACGACCACUCCACGCAUGUGGUGGUGGUGGAAACUCUUUUGGGUGGGGGAUGUGCUCGCGGCCUAUCAGCUUGUUGGUGGGGUAAUGGCCUACCAAGGCUUCGACGGGUAGCCGGCCUGAGAGGGUGACCGGCCACACUGGGACUGAGACACGGCCCAGACUCCUACGGGAGGCAGCAGUGGGGAAUAUUGGACAAUGGGCGGAAGCCUGAUCCAGCAACGCCGCGUGAGGGAUGACGGCCUUCGGGUUGUAAACCUCUUUCAGCACCGACGAAGCGCAAGUGACGGUAGGUGCAGAAGAAGGACCGGCCAACUACGUGCCAGCCGCCGCUGUAAAAC
rnacentral:rRNA from 1 species